GAUGAACGCUGGCGGCGUGCCUAAUACAUGCAAGUCGAGCGAACAGACGAGGAGCUUGCUCCUCUGACGUUAGCGGCGGACGGGUGAGUAACACGUGGAUAACCUACCUAUAAGACUGGGAUAACUUCGGGAAACCGGAGCUAAUACCGGAUAAUAUAUUGAACCGCAUGGUUCAAUAGUGAAAGACGGUUUUGCUGUCACUUAUAGAUGGAUCCGCGCCGCAUUAGCUAGUUGGUAAGGUAACGGCUUACCAAGGCAACGAUGCGUAGCCGACCUGAUAGGGUGAUCGGCCACACUGGAACUGAGACACGGUCCAGACGCCUACGGGAGGCAGCAGUAGGGAAUCGUCCGCAAUGGGCGAAAGCCUGACGGAGCAACGCCGCGUGAGUGAUGAAGGUCUUCGGAUCGUAAAACUCUGUUAUUAGGGAAGAACAAAUGUGUAAGUAACUAUGCACGUCUUGACGGUACCUAAUCAGAAAGCCACGGCUAACUACGUG
rnacentral:rRNA from 1 species